AUUGAACGCUGGCGGCAGGCCUAAUACAUGCAAGUCGAACGAGUGGCGGACGGGUGAGUAAUGUCUGGGAACCUGCCCGAUGGAGGGGGAUAACUACUGGAAACGGUAGCUAAUACCGCAUACCAUCGGAUGUGCCCAGAUGGGAUUAGCUAGUAGGUGGGGUAACGGCUCACCUAGGCGACGAUCCCUAGCUGGUCUGCGAGGAUGACCAGCAACACUGGAACUGAGACACGGUCCAGACUCCUACGGGAGGCAGCAGUAGGGAAUAUUGCACAAUGGGCGCAAGCCUGAUGCAGCCAUGCCGCGUGUAUGAAGAAGGCCUUCGGGUUGUAAAGUACUUUCAGCGAAGAGGCGUUACUCGCAGAGGAAGCACCGGCUAACUCCGUGCCAGCAGCCGCGGUAAUUC
rnacentral:rRNA from 1 species